rnacentral:rRNA from 1 species
UACGAAGGGGGCUAGCGUUGCUCGGAUUGACUGGGCGUAAAGGGCGCGUAGGCGGAUAGUACAGUCAGGCGUGAAAUUCCUGGGCUCAACCUGGGGGCUGCGUUUGAUACGUAUUGUCUGGAGUUCGGAAGAGGGUCGUGGAAUUCCCAGUGUAGAGGUGAAAUUCGUAGAUAUUGGGAAGAACACCGGUGGCGAAGGCGGCCUGCUGGGCAGUAGCUGACACUGAGGCGCGACAGCGUGGGGAGCAAACAGG